rnacentral:rRNA from 1 species
GAUGAACGCUGGCGGCGUGCCUAACACAUGCAAGUCGAACGGAGUCGUUUUGGAAAUCUCUUCGGAGAUGGAAUUCUCGACUUAGUGGCGGACGGGUGAGUAACGCGUGAGCAAUCUGCCUUUAAGAGGGGGAUAACAGUCGGAAACGGCUGCUAAUACCGCAUAAAGCAUUAAAUUCGCAUGUUUUUGAUGCCAAAGGAGCAAUCCGCUUUUAGAUGAGCUCGCGUCUGAUUAGCUAGUUGGCGGGGUAACGGCCCACCAAGGCGACGAUCAGUAGCCGGACUGAGGGGGUGAACGGCCACAUUGGGACUGAGACACGGCCCAGACUCCUACGGGAGGCAGCAGUGGGGAAUAUUGCGCAAUGGGGGAAACCCUGACGCAGCAACGCCGCGUGAGUGAAGAAGGCCUUCGGGUUGUAAAGAUCUUUAAUCAGGGACGAAACAAAUGACGGUACCUGAAGAAUAAGCACCGGCUAACUACGUG